AUCCUUUCGUAGUUCCUAAAUGUGAUGUCUGAUGUUGAUGCAUAUGUGUGGGAUAUGCCACCCUUGAGCCUUGCUAUGACAUUAGCAUGUUAACCAUCUGACA
ensembl:snoRNA